rnacentral:rRNA from 1 species
GAGUUUGAUCAUGGCUCAGGAUGAACGCUAGCGAUAGGCUUAACACAUGCAAGUCGAGGGGCAUCACGGGAUUAGCUUGCUAAUCUUGGUGGCGACCGGCGUAAGGGUGCGUAACGCGUAUGCAACUUGCCUGUCAGUGGGGAAUAACCCGGAGAAAUCCGGACUAAUACCGCAUACACUUUGGUUUCCGCAUGGGGGCUUUAGGAAAGAUUUAUUGCUGACAGAUAGGCAUGCGUUCCAUUAGAUAGUUGGUGAGGUAACGGCUCACCAAGUCGACGAUGGAUAGGGGAGCUGAGAGGCUUAUCCCCCACACUGGAACUGAGACACGGUCCAGACUCCUACGGGAGGCAGCAGUGAGGAAUAUUGGUCAAUGGGCGAGAGCCUGAACCAGCCAAGUCGCGUGAAGGAAGACGGUCCUAUGGAUUGUAAACUUCUUUAGUAGGUGAGUACAAGCAGUUACGUGUAGCUGU